GCCUGGGUGGCUCAGUGGGUUCGGCACCUGACUCUUGAUCUAGUCUCAGGUCAUGAUCUCAUGGUUCGUGGGUUUGAGCCCCGCUUCGGGCU
rnacentral:tRNA from 1 species